rnacentral:rRNA from 1 species
CGAGCGAGAAGCAGGAGCAAUCUUGUGAGUAAAGCGGCGUACGGGUGAGUAACACGUGGAUUAUCUACCUCUUUGUGGGGGAUAACCCUGGGAAACCGGGGCUAAUACCGCAUAAGUUCGAGAGAAGAAAGCAGCAAUGCGCAGAGAGAGGAGUCCGCGGCCGAUUAGUUAGUUGGCAGGGUAAAAGCCUACCAAGACAAAGAUCGGUAGCCGGCCUGAGAGGGCACACGGCCACACUGGCACUGAAACACGGGCCAGACUCCUACGGGAGGCAGCAGUGGGGAAUCUUGCACAAUGGGGGCAACCCUGAUGCAGCGACGCCGCGUGAGCGAUGAAGCCCUUCGGGGUGUAAAGCUCUUUCGGCAGGGAAGAUUAUGACGGUACCUGCAGAAGCAGCUGCGGCUAACUACGUGCCAGCAGCCGCGGUAAUACGUAGGCAGCAAGCGUUGUUCGGAGUUACUGGGCGUAAAGGGUGUGUAGGCGGUUCUCUAAGUUUGGUGUGAAAUCUCCCGGCUCAACUGGGAGGGUGCGCCGAAAACUGGGGGGCUAGAGUACUGGAUGGGAGAGUGGAAUUCCUGGUGUAGCGGUGAAAUGCGUAGAUAUCAGGAGGAACACCUGUGGUGUAGACGGCUCUCUGGACAGUAACUGACGCUGAGACACGAAAGCGUGGGUAGCAAACAGGAUUAGAUACCCUGGUAGUCCACG